rnacentral:miRNA from 1 species
ACGCUGAGGGGCCAUGAGACAGU